ACGCUCGACACCUACGGGGGCAGCAGUGGGGGAUAUUGCACAAUGGGGGGAAACCCUGAUGCAGCAACGCCGCGUGAAGGAAGAAGGUCUUCGGAUUGUAAACUUCUGUCCUCAGGGAAGAUAAUGACGGUACCUGAGGAGGAAGCUCCGGCUAACUACGUGCCAGCAGCCGCGGUAAUCUGAGGCGGGCGUGGACAAGGC
rnacentral:rRNA from 1 species